CAUGCACGGGAUGUGCGUACAACGCGCACGUCCCCUCCACGUGCACGGCGCGAGGUCAGGACUUGUAUGCGUCUUGUCGCACGCAAGUGAGCCGUCCGCGCGUCACCUCGCGCGAGGAUAGGCAUCGUAAACUAUGCGCGCGUCAUCCAUGUAGCAGGUCUACGUGGAUAGACCCUGUGCGCCUGGGGCUUGUGUGCGGCGCCCAGCGCGCCUAAACCCUACGCGUGCAGCAGGACGCCUGUGCGCCUGCAGGCUAGCCUGCAACGCACCGGCUAGAGCACUGCAACCUUAGGUAGUGCGCCACCGCUACCUUAGGCGAUGCACCGCCGCCGCCGGUGGAGGAGGCCCUCC
rnacentral:lncRNA from 1 species